UACGGCCGCAAGGUUAAAACUCAAAUGAAUUGACGGGGGCCCGCACAAGCGGUGGAGCAUGUGGUUUAAUUCGAUGCAACGCGAAGAACCUUACCUACUCUUGACAUCCAGAGAACUUUCCAGAGAUGGAUUGGUGCCUUCGGGAACUCUGAGACAGGUGCUGCAUGGCUGUCGUCAGCUCGUGUUGUGAAAUGUUGGGUUAAGUCCCGCAACGAGCGCAACCCUUAUCCUUUGUUGCCAGCGGUUCGGCCGGGAACUCAAAGGAGACUGCCAGUGAUAAACUGGAGGAAGGUGGGGAUGACGUCAAGUCAUCAUGGCCCUUACGAGUAGGGCUACACACGUGCUACAAUGGCAUAUACAAAGAGAAGCGACCUCGCGAGAGCAAGCGGACCUCAUAAAGUAUGUCGUAGUCCGGAUUGGAGUCUGCAACUCGACUCCAUGAAGUCGGAAUCGCUAGUAAUCGUAGAUCAGAAUGCUACGGUGAAUACGUUCCCGGGCCUUGUACACACCGCCCGUCACACCAUGGGAGUGGGUUGCAAAAGAAGUAGGUAGCUUAACCUUCGGGAGGGCGCUUACCACUUUGUGAUUCA
rnacentral:rRNA from 1 species